CGGCCGGCAUCCGGGGCCGCGGGCUUCCUGGAACCCCGCUCCAGGGCCCUGACGGUUCAGAUAAGAGCUGGGCUGCGUUAUCGGACCGGCAGAGCGUCCACCCCAGCAAGCGAGGGAGCCGGGGGCUUCGGGACAGCCUCCGGGCAGCCUCCCUGAGGACAGCCAGGCUGGGUGGGCUUUCCUGAGCCCGAGCCCCAGCCCGGGUCCUGCAGCUGGGACCUGGCGCUGGCUUGCAGCAGUAGAGACCGCAAGGCUGCUGUGAGGAGGACCGUGGGUCGGGCCACCGCGUGCAGACCUGCUUCAUGGUGACGGCCAUGUCGGUGAGGGUGCGGUUCCUGAGCCCCGGGGACGCAGGGGCCGUGGGGGCCGUGGGCCGCAGCGCCUCCUUCGCGGGCUUCAGCGGCGCACAGAGCCGGAGGAUCGCGAAGUCCCUCACCAGGAGCUCCGUGAGGCCGCGCACGCCCGGGAGACCCUCCAGGACCUACGGCACCCUGCGCAAGGGCUCCGUCUGCCUGGACCCCCAGCCCCAGCAGGUGAAGAGGAUCUUUGAAGCACUGAAGAGAGGUCUCAAGCAGCACCUGUGCGCGCAGCAGGCGGAGCUGGACUACCUGUGUGGACGCCACGCAGAUGCCCGCAGGGACUCCAGGCUGGCUUUCUACUACGACCUGGACAAGCAAACGCGCUGGGUGGAGAGGCACAUCCGGAGGAUGGAGUUCCACAUCAGCAAGGUGGAGGAGCUGUAUGAGGGCUACUGCGUCCAGUGCCGCCUGCGCGACGGGGCGACCAACAUGCAGCGCGCCUUCUCCCAGGGCCCGCCCAGCCGCGCCUCCCGCGAGAGCCUGCAGGAGCUGGGCCGCAGCCUGCACGCGUGCGCCCAGGACAUGUGGCUCAUCGAGGGUGCGCUGGAGGUCCACCUGGGCGAGCUCCACGUCAGGAUGAAAGGCUUGGUGGGCUAUGCACGCCUCUGUCCAGGAGACCAGUACGAGGUGCUCAUGCGCCUGGGCUGCCAGCGCUGGAGGCUGAAGGGCCGGAUCGAGUCGGACGGCAGCCAGACCUGGGAGGAGGAGGAGAAGGCCUUCGUCCCCACGCUGCACGAGAACCUGGAGAUCAAGGUGACGGAGCUGCGCGGCCUGAGCUCGCUGGCGGUGGGCACCGUGACCUGCGACAUCGCCGACUUCUUCACGACGCAGCCGCGGAUGGUGGUGGUGGACGUCACGGAGCUGGGCACCAUCAAGCUGCAGCUGGAGGUGCUGUGGAACCCAUUCGACUCCGAGAGCCUCCUGGUGUCACCCAGCCCCACAGGCAAGUUUUCCACGGGCAGCAGAAAGGGCUCCUUGUACCACUGGACUCCACCGAGCACCCCCAGCUUCCGGGAGAGAUACUACCUGUCUGCCCUGCAGCAGCCAGUGCAGCAGGCCCCACUGCUCGGGGGGCCGCGGGCCCCCUCCAUCCUCAGCUACCUGUCCGAAAGUGACCUCCAGGGCCCUAGCCUGCGAAGCCAGAGUCAGGAGCUGCCAGAGAUGGACUCCUUCAGCUCCGAGGACCCCCGAGACACAGAGACCAGCACGUCAGCCUCCACCUCGGAUGUGGCGGUCCUGCCCCUGGCCGCUGGCCCCGCUGCCUCCAUCGAAGAAGAGGCCCAAGAGGGGUGCCCUCCCCUUGGCCUCCUGCCAGUGAUGGCCCAACCGGCAGGCGGCUCGCUUGUGGAGCAGCCUGGCUGGAGGAACCUGGGCGCAGGGAGCCCCAACACGCCGCAGGCCGCCCUGUUCCACAGCUGCGCUCUCCCGAGCAGCCGGAAGGGCCAGGAAGGAGGAGAAAGUGGGGCUGGAGUGGACAGGCCUGCCGGAGCCCCCGAGAGGCCUCUGCAGGAGGUCCUGGAGUUACUGAGGUCCACCGACCCCGCCCAUCCCCAGCUCCGGGAGCUGGAGUACCAGGUCCUCGGCUUCAGGGACCGGCUACAGGCCCGGCAGGAGCCCGUCUCCACCGAGAGUCUGAUGGACUGCAUACUGGAGAGCUUCGCCUUCCUCAACGCCGACCUCGCGCCCGACGAGCUGUCCCUGUUUGGGGGCUCCCGGGAUCCCCGGGAAGACCGGACCCCACCCGCGCCGUCCCGGAAGGCGCCCUCCAGGGAGCUCAGGGCGGGGGCGGGCGAGCUGGACGCGGUGCUCGUAGUCCACCUUCAGGUCUGCAAGGCCCUGCUGCAGAAACUGGCCUCCCCUAAUUUGUCGAGGAUGGUGCAGGAUUGCCUUCUGGAAGAAGCGGCACAGCAAAAGCAAGUUCUGGAGACGCUCUCUGACCUUGAUUUUGACAAGGUCGGCAAGGCGACGUCAGUUGAAGACAUCAUCCCGCAGGCUUCGCGCAGGAAGGGCUGCCUGAAGCUGUGGCACGGAUGCACCGGCCCCGGCGCAGUCCUGUCCUGCCCUGCCACCACGCUCCUGAGCCAGCUCAAGAGGACGUUCCUGCACAGAGUGCGAGGGAGACACUCAGGACAGCUGGAAACAGUGUGCCACAGGCUCCUGGAGCAGGUGGUCAGCUGCAGUGGGCUGCUCCCCACAGCCGGGCUCCCGGAGCAGCAGACCGUGACCUGGUUCCAGUUUCACAGCUACCUGCAGAAGCAGAGCGUCUCUGACCUGGAGACGCACUUCGCCCAGCUCACCAAGGAAGGACCCUGGACUUCCUUCUGCUCUGCCCUCAGUCACCCUCACCCAGGAGCUGCUCUGCGCAGGGCAGGUCAAGACCGUCCGCAAGCUGCGGGGAAAGAGGCUGGGCCUGCUGCAGCCGCUGCCCCAGACCCUGAGAGCCUGGGCACUGCUGCAGCUCGACGGGCCCCCGAGGGUGUGCAGGGCGGCCAGGGCUCGCCUGGCCAGCGCGGCCAAGCACAGAAGCUUCCGGGAGAAGGCUCUGCUCUUCUACACCAACGCCCUGAGCGAGAGCGACGCCAGGCUCCAGCAGGCUGCGUGCACGGCGCUGCAGCAGCUCAGGGGCAUCGAAAGCAUUGAUCAGAUUGCCAGCCUGUGCCAGUCUGACCUGGAGGCCGUGCGGAAUGCAGCCCGGGAAGCCACACUGUCAUUUGGUGAAAAAGGACGCUCAGCUUUUGAGAAGAUGGACAAACUUCGCUUAGAACAAGGAGACGCCUUUUGCCAGGAAGCAGAUGUGGAAAUCACGAUAUUUUAAAAAGCCUCGCUGAUGAGCUCGAAUCUGGAGUUGUGUCCCCUGCUGCUCAGCCCCAGCACGGGGCCCGAGCUUUGGGUGGGGCGUGCUUGGUGCUCCCCGCGUCUCCCCUGGUCCAAGUGGCUGCCUGAGGCGUGGACCAUUACCAACUCUGGGGCACAGGUGGCACUUUAAUGGAAGCCAAAAAAGCAGAUGCACGCCAUGUCCUAGCCUGCGCUGCUCACUGCACUGCACGUCUGCCUUGAGAAUCUGAGUCCCCAGGGUGCAGAGCCAGGCCGGCCAUGGAUGAAGGCGCCAAGGCCAGGCAAGGCAAGGGCCUGCCCAGACUCCAGGACCGCCGAGUGCGGGGAACGCGAGACUUCUGCCUGCCAGCUGGCUGGGUGCUCCUGGUUCAAAACACUGGGGUUGAGGGGCCGGGGGUGGGCCAAUGCUGGCCAUGCUGAUCAAAGAAUGGUGGCGUGAGUCAUUCAACAGCAGCUCACUGUCACCCUGGUGAGUGGAGAGGUGGGAGGCUUGAAGCCAGCAGGUCUGUCACACUCUCAACCUGAGCUGCAGCCCAAAUGCCAGCAGGGCCAAUGGCGGCUGGCUGGCCAUGGCCUUUAUUUUCACCAUGUUCAACAGCACAAAGGACAGAAAGGACACCGGCCAAGGAGCCUGGAGUGUCCCAAGCAGUAAAGCCGUUUGCUUUGGCCAUACAGCUCAAGAGGCGACCCAACUUCUGAAGCAAGUCAGUCCAAGGCCUGCCGAGGAAGUCGCUCCAGAAGCCUAACUGGUCUGAAGGGCUUCGGGAAAGAGCAUAUUGCUUUAAAGAAGGAAAAUGAGCUUCCUAAUUGUGUUUAAAAAAAAAAAAAAAAGCCAUGUUCUGCGAUGUUUCUGUUAGUGUAGGGAGCUGUGGG